rnacentral:tRNA from 1 species
GCCUCCAUAGCUCAGUUGGUAGAGCGGCGGUUUUGUAAACCGUAGGUCGUCGGUUCGACUCCGGCUGGGGGCU